rnacentral:lncRNA from 1 species
CAUUAAAUGAGAAGGUGUGUCCAAACUUAUAUUUCACCUUAGUCUCCUUAAAAUGUAAAUAUACUUUAGUUUCCAUCUUCCCAUUUGAACAUUUAUCAUCAAAAGAGUAGUUAAAUCAAUUAAUCAAGAAACAAUAGAUUGAUUAUUACAUGAUCAAAUAUAAUUGUGGCCAACUUUAUUGUACCCGAACUCCCCUAGCCUCAAAACAGUUUAUUUGAACAUUGUGAGUUUUUCUGUCUUUAAAUCGAGUCCUGUCUGGAUGUCUUUGCACAUCUCUUUAUCAAUACCUGCAUUACUAUUGCUCCUUGCUUUCCUUCCAAGACAGCGCUGAUUCUGCAGCAGUCCUCAUGUGACCUGAAAAACACAAAUUUUGGGUUGGAGCAGCCAUGAUAUCCCGUUCCCCUGCAGUGACGUCACCUACUACAAAGAUAUUCCUAUUAGAAAAUACUAUAUUACGCAUAUUGUGACGAUUAAUUUACACCUAUGGUUGCAGAGGAAAAGCUUUAGCGGUUUGGUCAGAGGCUAUUUGCGUCCUCAAAAUCUCAUUAAGGGACUAGACGGACUGCAGCAAUCGUGUGUGUUUGUGUGUUAAUGUGUGUGUACAGGUAGAGAGUGGAGGUGUGACUCGGGCAUACGAGAAACAAGAAGCCGUGAAAGUGACUGCACCGCGAGUACAGUCGCUUUUGGUGUCGCGGUGGUAUCCUCGCCUGCCUUAUUCUCUUUUUGAGGGUGUCUGUGUGUCUUUCCCUCUCUGUGUGUCUUUCUCUCGUUACUGAGGCGCCAUUUCUGCUUCAGAGGACGCCUGUUUUUAGUAGAAGACAACUAAACACCAGCGGCACCAUGUUAACACUGCUGACUUCCAUGUAUCUGGUGAUGCGGACCGUUUCAUCGCGGACCGCCGCCCCCUUUCCAGGUGGCGCAAUCAGUAAUGACACGGCUCUGCAGCUCAAAGGUCGUGGGUUCAAUCCCACCUUGGUCCACGUUUUUUUUUUUUCACUACAAAUUUAUACACUAUCACAGACCUGUAAUUUAUAUUGCUAAUCUAUUACAAUUCUACAAAGUUUUAUGAUUUUAGCAGCUUUUCUACUAUGGACCUCAGAUUCUUGUUAACGCUCCAUGGCAGAAACAAGUACACAGCCUGAUGAAGCAGACAGAGGCAGUACCUCUGAUUGGUGAAUUUGAGUAGAACCAGGUUGUUCUUUCAUUUCA